rnacentral:rRNA from 1 species
GAUGAACGCUAGCGGCAGGCUUAACACAUGCAAGUCGAGGGGCAGCAUGGGACGGAGAUUCGUCGAAGUCCUGAUGGCGACCGGCGCAAGGGUGCGUAACGCGUGAGCAACUUGCCCGUUUCUGGGGAAUAACCGGUGGAAACGCCGACUAAUACCCCAUGGCAUCAAUGAGAGGCAUCUUUUGUUGAUUAAAGAAUUUCGGAAACGGAUAGGCUCGCGUGACAUUAGCUAGAUGGCGGGGUAACGGCCCACCAUGGCGACGAUGUCUAGGGGUUCUGAGAGGAAGGUCCCCCACACUGGAACUGAGACACGGUCCAGACUCCUACGGGAGGCAGCAGUGAGGAAUAUUGGUCAAUGGUCAGACGACUGAACCAGCCAUGCCGCGUGAAGGUCACGGCCCUAUGGGUCUUAAACUUCUUUGUUAGGGAGCAAUAAGGCGUACGUGUACGUCGAUGAGAGUACCUAACGAAUAAGCAUCGGCUAACUCCGUGCCAG